GACGAACGCUGGCGGCGUGCCUAACACAUGCAAGUCAACUUGACUGAAGGAGCAAUCUGACAGUAGAGUGGCGCAAGGGUGCGUAACGCGUAAGUAACUUGCCCAAGGUAAGGAAUAACGUCGAGAAAUCGGCGCUAAUACCUCAUAAUGCAGCGGAUCCGCAUGGAUAUGUUGUUAAAGGUUUACCGCCUUGGGAUAGGCUUGCGUCUGAUUAGCUAGUCGGUGUGGUAACGGCACACCAAGGCUACGAUCAGUAACUGGUCUGAGAGGAUGAUCAGUCACACUGGAACUGAGACACGGUCCAGACUCCUACGGGAGGCAGCAGUGAGGAAUAUUGGGCAAUGCUCGAAAGAGUGACCCAGCAACGCCGCGUGGAGGAUGAAGGUAUUCUAUAUCGUAAACUCCUGUGAGAGCAGACGAAAGACAGAUUAUUAAUCUGGAUGACUGUAUGCUCAGAGGAAGCCCCGGCUAACUACG
rnacentral:rRNA from 1 species